UAAGCGACUAAGCGUACACGGUGGAUGCCCUGGCAGUCAGAGGCGAUGAAGGACGUGCUAAUCUGCGAUAAGCGUCGGUAAGGUGAUAUGAACCGUUAUAACCGGCGAUUUCCGAAUGGGGAAACCCAGUGUGAUUCGUCACACUAUCAUUAACUGAAUCCAUAGGUUAAUGAGGCGAACCGGGGGAACUGAAACAUCUAAGUACCCCGAGGAAAAGAAAUCAACCGAGAUUCCCCCAGUAGCGGCGAGCGAACGGGGAGCAGCCCAGAGCCUGAAUCAGUGUGUGUGUUAGUGGAAGCGUCUGGAAAGGCGCGCGAUACAGGGUGACAGCCCCGUACACAAAAAUGCACAUACUGUGAGCUCGAUGAGUAGGGCGGGACACGUGGUAUCCUGUCUGAAUAUGGGGGGACCAUCCUCCAAGGCUAAAUACUCCUGACUGACCGAUAGUGAACCAGUACCGUGAGGGAAAGGCGAAAAGAACCCCGGCGAGGGGAGUGAAAAAGAACCUGAAACCGUGUACGUACAAGCAGUGGGAGCCUCUUUUAUGGGGUGACUGCGUACCUUUUGUAUAAUGGGUCAGCGACUUAUAUUCUGUAGCAAGGUUAACCGAAUAGGGGAGCCGAAGGGAAACCGAGUCUUAACCGGGCGUUAAGUUGCAGGGUAUAGACCCGAAACCCGGUGAUCUAGCCAUGGGCAGGUUGAAGGUUGGGUAACACUAACUGGAGGACCGAACCGACUAAUGUUGAAAAAUUAGCGGAUGACUUGUGGCUGGGGGUGAAAGGCCAAUCAAACCGGGAGAUAGCUGGUUCUCCCCGAAAGCUAUUUAGGUAGCGCCUCGUGAAUUCAUCUCCGGGGGUAGAGCACUGUUUCGGCAAGGGGGUCAUCCCGACUUACCAACCCGAUGCAAACUGCGAAUACCGGAGAAUGUUAUCACGGGAGACACACGGCGGGUGCUAACGUCCGUCGUGAAGAGGGAAACAACCCAGACCGCCAGCUAAGGUCCCAAAGUCAUGGUUAAGUGGGAAACGAUGUGGAAGGCCCAGACAGCCAGGAUGUUGGCUUAGAAGCAGCCAUCAUUUAAAGAAAGCGUAAUAGCUCACUGGUCGAGUCGGCCUGCGCGGAAGAUGUAACGGGGCUAAACCAUGCACCGAAGCUGCGGCAGCGACACUGUGUGUUGUUGGGUAGGGGAGCGUUCUGUAAGCCUGUGAAGGUGUACUGUAAGGUAUGCUGGAGGUAUCAGAAGUGCGAAUGCUGACAUAAGUAACGAUAAAGCGGGUGAAAAGCCCGCUCGCCGGAAGACCAAGGGUUCCUGUCCAACGUUAAUCGGGGCAGGGUGAGUCGACCCCUAAGGCGAGGCCGAAAGGCGUAGUCGAUGGGAAACAGGUUAAUAUUCCUGUACUUGGUGUUACUGCGAAGGGGGGACGGAGAAGGCUAUGUUGGCCGGGCGACGGUUGUCCCGGUUUAAGCGUGUAGGCUGGUUUUCCAGGCAAAUCCGGAAAAUCAAGGCUGAGGCGUGAUGACGAGGCACUACGGUGCUGAAGCAACAAAUGCCCUGCUUCCAGGAAAAGCCUCUAAGCAUCAGGUAACAUCAAAUCGUACCCCAAACCGACACAGGUGGUCAGGUAGAGAAUACCAAGGCGUUUGAGAGAACUCGGGUGAAGGAACUAGGCAAAAUGGUGCCGUAACUUCGGGAGAAGGCACGCUGAUAUGUAGGUGAAGUCCCUCGCGGAUGGAGCUGAAAUCAGUCGAAGAUACCAGCUGGCUGCAACUGUUUAUUAAAAACACAGCACUGUGCAAACACGAAAGUGGACGUAUACGGUGUGACGCCUGCCCGGUGCCGGAAGGUUAAUUGAUGGGGUCAGCGCAAGCGAAGCUCUUGAUCGAAGCCCCGGUAAACGGCGGCCGUAACUAUAACGGUCCUAAGGUAGCGAAAUUCCUUGUCGGGUAAGUUCCGACCUGCACGAAUGGCGUAAUGAUGGCCAGGCUGUCUCCACCCGAGACUCAGUGAAAUUGAACUCGCUGUGAAGAUGCAGUGUACCCGCGGCAAGACGGAAAGACCCCGUGAACCUUUACUAUAGCUUGACACUGAACAUUGAGCCUUGAUGUGUAGGAUAGGUGGGAGGCUUUGAAGUGUGGACGCCAGUCUGCAUGGAGCCGACCUUGAAAUACCACCCUUUAAUGUUUGAUGUUCUAACGUGGACCCGUGAUCCGGGUUGCGGACAGUGUCUGGUGGGUAGUUUGACUGGGGCGGUCUCCUCCUAAAGAGUAACGGAGGAGCACGAAGGUUGGCUAAUCCUGGUCGGACAUCAGGAGGUUAGUGCAAUGGCAUAAGCCAGCUUGACUGCGAGCGUGACGGCGCGAGCAGGUGCGAAAGCAGGUCAUAGUGAUCCGGUGGUUCUGAAUGGAAGGGCCAUCGCUCAACGGAUAAAAGGUACUCCGGGGAUAACAGGCUGAUACCGCCCAAGAGUUCAUAUCGACGGCGGUGUUUGGCACCUCGAUGUCGGCUCAUCACAUCCUGGGGCUGAAGUAGGUCCCAAGGGUAUGGCUGUUCGCCAUUUAAAGUGGUACGCGAGCUGGGUUUAGAACGUCGUGAGACAGUUCGGUCCCUAUCUGCCGUGGGCGCUGGAGAACUGAGGGGGGCUGCUCCUAGUACGAGAGGACCGGAGUGGACGCAUCACUGGUGUUCGGGUUGUCAUGCCAAUGGCACUGCCCGGUAGCUAAAUGCGGAAGAGAUAAGUGCUGAAAGCAUCUAAGCACGAAACUUGCCCCGAGAUGAGUUCUCCCUGACCCUUUAAGGGUCCUGAAGGAACGUUGAAGACGACGACGUUGAUAGGCCGGGUGUGUAAGCGCAGCGAUGCGUUGAGCUAACCGGUACUAAUGAACCGUGAGGCUUAACCU
rnacentral:rRNA from 1 species